UACGUAGGGGGGCUAGCGUUGUCCGGAAUCAUUGGGCGUAAAGAGCGUGUAGGCGGCCCGGUAAGUCCGCUGUGAAAGUCGGGGGCUCAACCCUCGAAUGCCGGUGGAUACUGUCGGACUAGAGUACGGAAGAGGCGAGUGGAAUUCCCGGUGUAGCGGUGAAAUGCGCAGAUAUCGGGAGGAACACCAAUUGCGAAGGCAGCUCGCUGGGACGUUACUGACGCUGAGGUGCGAAAGCGUGGGGGAGCAAACAGG
rnacentral:rRNA from 1 species